rnacentral:tRNA from 1 species
GCGGGUGUAGCUUACCGGCAAAGCCCCAGCCUUCCAAGCUUCUCAUGUGGGUUCGACUCCCAUCACCCGCU